UACGUAGGUGGCAAGCGUUGUCCGGAUUUAUUGGGUUUAAAGGGUGCGUAGGCGGCCCUGUAAGUCAGCGCUGAAAUAUCCCGGCUUAACCGGGAGGGUGGCAUUGAUACUGCAGGGCUUGAGUAAAGUUGAGGUUGGCGGAAUUGACGGUGUAGCGGUGAAAUGCUUAGAUAUCGUCAAGAACACCGAUAGUGAAGACAGCUAACUAAGCUUUAACUGACGCUGAGGCACGAAAGUGUGGGGAUCAAACAGG
rnacentral:rRNA from 1 species